rnacentral:rRNA from 1 species
AAUGAACGUUGGCGGCGUGGAUUAGGCAUGCAAGUCGAACGGGUCCGGCUUCGGCCGGGCCAGUGGCGGAAGGGUGAGUAAGGCGACGGCAACCAACCCCGAGGUUGGGUAUAGCCGCGGGAAACUGCGGGUAAUCCCCAGCGACGUGACGACGCCGGCAUCGGCGUUUCACCAAAGGCUUCGGCCGCCUUGGGACGGGCCGUCGUGGUAUUAGGUAGUUGGCGGGGUUACGGCCCACCAAGCCUGUGAUGCCUACCGGGCGUGCGAGCGUGGCCCGGCACACUGGGACUGAGACACUGCCCAGACUCUUACGGGAGGCUGCAGUCGAGAAUCUUCGGCAAUGGGCGCAAGCCUGACCGAGCGACGCCGCGUGGAGGAUGAAGGCCUUCGGGUUGUAAACUCCUGUCGAGGGGGAGGAAGGGGCAACCUUGACCGAUCCCUGGAGGAAGCACGGGCUAAGUUCGUGCCAGCAGCCGCGGUAAGACGAACCGUGCGAACGUUAUUCGGAAUCACUGGGCUUAAAGCGCGUGUAGGCGGAUUGCCGCGUCGGCCGCUGAAAUCCCCCGGCUUAACCGGGGAACGGGCGUCGAAACGGGCAGUCUGGAGGGGAGUAGGGGGACCUGGAACUUCCGGUGGAGCGGUGAAAUGCGUUGAGAUCGGAAGGAACGCCCGUGGCGAAAGCGAGCUCCUGGACGUUUUCUGACGCUGAGACGCGAAAGCCAGGGGAGCGAACGGGAUUAGAUACCCCGGUAGUCCUGGCCGUAAACGAUGGGCACUGGGUAGGGGCUCGCCGAUGGGCUCCCUGCCGUAGGAAACCGUGAAGUGCCCGCCUGGGGAGUAUGGUCGCAAGGCUGAA